rnacentral:tRNA from 1 species
AUCUCAGUAGCAUAGUGCUUGGUGCACAGCCACGGAUACUUUGAAACGCGGGUUCGAAUCCCGCCUGAGAUG